rnacentral:rRNA from 1 species
CAGUCGUACCUGCGGACAAUCAGCUUUUUGAGUGUGAUUAUGUGGAUUGUGAGGAGUUUAAUCACCCUCAUGUUUUACGUAUUCGUGCUCUUGGGUGUACUUGCCCGUGUGGUAGGUUAACAUCAAUUUUGGUCGUCAUAAAAUGACUGGAGGAAUGUAGCUUUGGUCUCGUAUCGAAGUGUUAUAGACUCUGGUAGAUGUGACGAUUGGGAUUGAGGAGUGCAACGGAUACCCUUCGGGGCUACUCGUCUGAUCUCUGAAGGUUGCUCCGGUGCCGAAAGCGUGCUUACGGUCAUCGAAAGUGAUUUUCAAAAGGUUAGAACGGGUUAAAUUCGUUAAGGAUGUUGACGUAAUGGCUUUAAACGA